AUACACAUGGCCGACGCGGAUCAAACUGCAGUAUUUGUUGUUACCAGCUUAAAAUAUGAUACGGGUUCUAUUUGGAUCCAAGAUAAUAACGUUAUUUUUGCAUGCUGGCAAAGGGCUUCAAGCCUGCUUCCCCUACGCCGCGGGUCGGCCUGGUAUGCGCUAUCUUUAGGAUGGCGCCCAUGGUUU